UACGAGCUGCUACGGCAGCGAAGUGGAUGAUGUCAAGCUUCCAAGAAAAGCCCUAUACCCGUUAAGGCAUGACGGCCUGUACCCGAAACCGACACAGGUGGGGUGGUAGAGAAUACCAAGGGGCGCGAGAUAACUCUCUCUAAGGAACUCGGCAAAAUGGCCCCGUAACUUCGGGAGAAGGGGUGCCACCGCGAGGUGGUCGCAGUGAAGAGGCCCAGGCGACUGUUUACCAAAAACACAGGUCUCCGCUAAGUCGCAAGACGAUGUAUGGGGGCUGACGCCGCCCAGUGCCGGAAGGUUAAGGAAGCCGGUCAGCGUAAGCGAAGCUGGCGACUGAAGCCCCGGUGAACGGCGGCCGUAACUAUAACGGUCCUAAGGUAGCGAAAUUCCUUGUCGGGUAAGUUCCGACCCGCACGAAAGGCGUAACGAUCUGGGCGCUGUCUCGGAGAGAGGCUCGGCGAAAUAGAAUUGUCUGUGAAGAUGCGGACUACGUGCACCCGGACAUAAAGACCCUAUGAAGCUUUACUGUAGCUUGGUAUUGUGCUCGGGCUCUGAAUGCGCAGGAUAGGUGGGAGGCUUUGAUCCAUUGCUUGCGGGUGAUGGUGAGCCACUGGUGAGAUACCACUCUUUCAGAGCUAGGGUUCUAACGGUCACCCGUUAUCCGGGGACCGGACAGUAUCAGGUGGGCAGUUUGACUGGGGCGGUCGCCUCCUAAAAGGUAACGGAGGCGCGCAAAGGUUCCCUCAGGCUGGUUGGAAAUCAGCCGACGAGUGCAAAGGCAGAAGGGAGCUUGACUGUGAGACCAACAAGUCGAACAGGGACGAAAGUCGGCCUUAGUGAUCCGACGGUUCUGAGUGGAAGGGCCGUCGCUCAACGGAUAAAAGUUACUCUAAGGAUAACAGGCUGAUCUCCCCCAAGAGUUCACAUCGACGGGGAGGUUUGGCACCUCGAUGUCGGCUCAUCGCAACCUGGGGCUGAAGUCGGUCCCAAGGGUUGGGCUGUUCGCCCAUUAAAGCGGUACGCGAGCUGGGUUCAGAACGUCGUGAGACUGUUCGGUCCAUAUCCGGUGCAUGCGCAGGAACAUUGAGAGGAUUUCUCCCUAGUACGAGAGGACCGGGAGGAACGCACCUCUGGUGUACCAGUUAUCGUGCCAACGGUAAACGCUGGGUAGCCAUGUGCGGAGCGGAUAACCGCUGAAAGCAUCUAAGUGGGAAGCCCACCUCAAGAUGAGUGUUCCCAUGGCAUAAGCCAGUAAGGUCACGGGAAGAACACCCGUUGAUAGGCUCUACGUGGAAGCGUGGCAACAUGUGGAGCGGAGGAGUACUAAUAGACCGAGGGCUU
rnacentral:rRNA from 1 species